GGGCCCGUGGUGUAACGGACAACAUUACCGGCUUCGGACCGGUCGACUGAGGGUUCGAAUCCCUCCGGGCUCA
rnacentral:tRNA from 1 species